GUUCCCUGACCCGGUCCUCAUGGACCACCAAUAGUCCAGACCACCAAUUUUGUCAGUAUCUCCAUUGGAAUAAAACAGGGAAAUACAUAAAUCCUGGACUGUUGGUGGUCCUUGAGGACAGGGUUGGGGAC